UGCCAAAGCGUUCACGUGGCUACAAAUCAGAAGAACAGAGAACGCGGAGGACGCGUCUCCAUUUUGCUUUCUCUCUUUCCCCGACGAAGAAGGUAGAAGGACCUAGAGACUUCCCUCCCUCACUCCUUAUACUCGAAAACUAUAAAAUCAUCUGAUACCACAUCAUACUUGUCACUGCUUUCUCCACUCCACCCUCUCUCCUUAUCGGUCGAAAUCUGCAAGAUGAAUCCACCAUCAGAGUCUCGCUCAAGUCAUCAGCAACACGAAACCACUGUUCCUUCCACGACCGAGAUCCAGUUGCGGUCAACGGUCGAUGGCAUAUUUCAGAACUCAUGGGAAGCUGCAGAAAGAGGUGAAGUUGCAAGAGGUCAUGAAACAUGUAGCUAUGAAUCCAAGUUGAAGCAAAUCCUACAGUUCGCCUUCAUUGAUAUAAUCAUCAGCUUAAUGGCAGUGUUUGCAGUUUUCAUAGCACAGCGAGAUCUGAAAGGCCAUGCAAACGAAUUGCACCUUCUUAUCUGCGGCUUCCUCACCACCUGCAGUCUUCUCUGUGGAGUAACCCUAAUGUUCUUCACCAUCAAUUUGCUAAGUCGCAAGGAUCACAGUGUCCACAGAGGCCAGCAUGUGACCACCGUUUUCCUCCUCGUCCUUUCAUGCGCUCUCCUCAUCCUUACAGCUGCUGGUUUCUCAACUCUCCUCCAUAAACGCUCCAUGUUUCUGGCAGCCCUGCUUCCGGGAUGUUUGCUUCUCGGCACCCUCCUCUACUUCAUAUUCCACGCAGGGGAUGAUCAUGAUCAGAAUUCCACAGGAUAUGCGAGCUAUAAAUCAGAGCUGAAACAUUCGUUGGGUCUCUCAUCCACUGUUGUCUCCCUUGCAUUCAGUGGGCUGAUAACUACUCUUAUUGGGACCGCUAAAAGUCAUUCGGAUCAAGCCCUUACCAUAAACACGAAGAUCUGCAUCUUUCAGAUGUUCUUCGCCGCCAUGUUCGGCCUUCUGUUGAUGCUGCUCAGCUCAGUCCCACCAAGCUUCAAGCAGCAAAGCACCAGGGAGUUCCUUACCAAGCUCCUCAAAGCACUCAGCUACUCUCUGCUGGGCUCAUUGGCACUCAUAGCCGCCACGGCGGCUUCUGCUUUCCUUGACGUCUUCCUUGUACUGGUUCUCCUGCCGACGCCAUUUAUUGGAGUCACUCUUUGGUUCUGCAUAGAGUGGCACAGCACCCAGAAACAGCCGCACGGACCGCGCACUACUACCAACGUUGGUCAUGAUCUCAAGCUCAAACUCAUUUCCAAGGUCGCUACUACCACGACAUCCAUCAGCUUCGGAGGUCUUAUGGGCGCCUUCUCAGGAUUUAUCGGCAGAAAAGGCAGUGAAUUGCAGCUCAAGCUCUGCGUGUUGGUGAUGUUCUUCGCAUUUCUAUCCAGUUUCAGCGUGAAGCUGCUCACUUUCAGGACUCCAAAGCCAGGAACUCUGAUGACAGUAAUCAAAAUCUUAAGCACUUGCUCCGUCUUGUUACUCCUAUUCUUCGCCAUUGUCGUCUUCUUCCUCGAGUUCUUGGGUGGCUAAGCACCACGAAGAAGACUACUUACUAGCUGUCGGGGAAAUAAUGCAUACGGCAGUGGGAUUCGGUCAUAUCCUGAGAGAUCAGAUGGAAUGUGACCUUUGCAUUUGAUUGCAGAUGCUAUCGAGAUGGAAAGGCAGAAGCGAAAGCAUAAGAUGCUAACCUCGAAGUCCGGAAGAAGUCUAUCGGAGCAGUUCAUGUGGAAGAUGGACGACAGUUCCCUCAGUAUAUCUGCAGAAAAGUAAGAAGAUCAGCUGCUGUCCCUAUGACUAUCCUGCGAGCUGUACUAGUGAAAUUAUUUGCAUAGAAGAUCUGAUUAGGGGAAAUGAAACUCGAGCGAGGGAGUCUGACCUGAAAGAUGAUGAUGAUGAUACAGUGAUGGUGAGAGCAGUUCUUACCAGAUCUAAGAUGAGUUUUGAGUACUGCUUGCAACCAUGGCUAAAUCCAACGAGCAAUGCAAAUGAUGUGUAAGGACAGAAGAUGCUCGUCUCAACUUGAUGUAAUGUAUUAUUUCCCUUCUCCAAGCUGUUUAGGUGCAUCUGCAUUCGGGCUGGAUUAAGAAUUUUCUAUUACCCAUAGUUCAUAAUUAAAGACUGUGCACUAUAUUAUUUUA